rnacentral:tRNA from 1 species
UAGGGUGUGGUGUAAAGGUAGCACGAGGAAUUUUGGAUUCUUUGGUGUGGGUUCGAAUCCUGCGACUCUAG